AGUGAACGCUGGCGGUAGGCCUAACACAUGCAAGUCGAACGGCAGCACAGUAAGAGCUUGCUCUUACGGGUGGCGAGUGGCGGACGGGUGAGGAAUACAUCGGAAUCUACUUUUUCGUGGGGGAUAACGUAGGGAAACUUACGCUAAUACCGCAUACGACCUACGGGUGAAAGCCGGGGAUCUUUGGACCUUGCGCGAUUGAAUGAGCCGAUGUCGGAUUAGCUAGUUGGCGGGGUAAAGGCCCACCAAGGCGACGAUCCGUAGGAGGUCUGAGAGGGUGAUCAGCCACACUGGAACUGAGACACGGUCCAGACUCCUACAGUAGGAAGCAGUGGGGAAUAUUGGACAAUGGGCGCAAGCCUGAUCCAGCCAUACCGCGUGGGUGAAGAAGGCCUUCGGGUUGUAAAGCCCUGUUGUUGGGAAAGAAAAGCAGCAGGUUAAUACCCCGCUGUUCUGACGGUACCCAAAGAAUAAGCACCGGCUAACUUCGUG
rnacentral:rRNA from 1 species